AAAAAAAUAAUCCCAACAUCUACUCCACCAUGGUUAAAUAUUUGCAAAAAUUGAUACCUACUUUAUCUUACCAUCUACUUGGGCCACUGAAAUCCUUAUUUAACUGUACUACAGAGACGAUCAACUGCAAUUCAGCUUCCCACUUGAUCAAAUUGCUUCCUACAUCAAGGAAUUGCCAAGAAAAACAACUAGUCUGCUAGAGAGAGGUCCUACAAAGAUCAAGAAUCCAUAGAGGAUGGAAGAAAAAAAGAGAAUAGUCCAGCCAGCUUCCAACCACUCCAGACAUCCAAACUGAGGUGUCAGACAUGUGAAGGAAGCCAUCUUGGGUUCUCCAACGUCAAAUAAGCCCUCAACCAAGAAGACAUGGAGCAAAGAUGAGCCGUCUCUGCUGAGUCCUGAAGAAACUGAAAAUCAUGAGCAAAUAAAUAUUUAACUAGUUAUUGGUUUUAGGCACUCUAUUUUAAGAAAGUUUGUUAUGCAGCAAUAAAGAAUUGAAACAAAA